AUCUAAUGUAAUUCCUACAAUGUUAAUGCAUCAGAUCCCAUUAGAACUCUGUAGUUAAGCAUGUUUGGGAUAGAGUAGUACUGGGAUGGGUGAUCUCCUGGGAAGUCCUAGUGUUUUACGUG
rfam:Picea glauca, whole genome shotgun sequence.